UCCAAGGAAAGCGAGUUGUGGAGCGAGGCAGGCAGAUUGCGCGUGCGCAGUCGACACAGGGCGUUAGAAGAAGGAAAUGGACCUCUCUCAAUGACCUAGGCAUUGCGCAUGCGUCUUACUGCGGACUGAAGCCGAACCUCGAAGGACCAGGACGCUUUUCUGCACAUGCGCAGGAGGCUCAAUGACAGUUGAACGUUGGCUAAGGCUGCGGGGAAAGGGUCUGGCCAUGCUGCAUGUGACCCGAGGGUUCUGGGGAUCCAGGGUCCGAGUAUGGCCCCUGUUGCCCGCGCUCCUCGACCACCCCCGGGCCCUGUCAUCGCUGGCGGCCAAGAUGGGGGAGUACCGCAAGAUGUGGAACCCCACGGAACCCCGCAACUGGUCCCAGCAGUACCGCGAGCGGUUCAUCCCGUUCUCCAAAGAGCAGCUGCUCCGCCUCCUGAUAAAGGAGUUCCAUUCCAGUCCUGCGGAGAAGGCGGCUUUGGAGGAGUUCGUGGCCCACGUGAACUUUUGCACCUUGUUCCACUACCAUCACAUCCUGGCCCAGCUGCAGGCCUUGUAUGACCCCAUCAACCCUGACAGGGAGACCCUUGAGCAGACUUCACUUACAGACCCCCAGCGUCUGUCCAAUGAACAGGAGGUUCUUCGGGCUCUGGAGCCCCUGCUGGCCCAGGCCAACUUCUCCCCGCUCUCAGAGGACACCCUGGCCUAUGCUCUGGUGGUCCAUCACCCUCAGGAUGUGGUCCAGGUGACGAUAAAUUUGGACCAGUAUAUCUACAUGCAGUUCUGGGCCCUGGGCCAGCGAGUCGGGCAGAUGCCCCGUAAGUCCAGCGUGGGCUUCAAGCAUGGCUUCUUCAAGUCGCCCCCUGCAGAGAGGAGAUACUUUAAGCGGGUGGUGCUAGCAGCCCGAGCGAAGCGGGGGCACUUGGUGCUGAAGAGCUUCAAGGACAUACCGUUGGAGGGCCUGGAGCAGCUGCUGCCCGAGCUGAAGGUGCGCACGCCCACCCUACAGCGGGCCCUGCUCAAUUUCACGUUGGUCGUCUCGGGUGUGGUGUUCUUCGUCAAUGUGGGCAUGGUGGUGCUCUCCGACCUCAAGAUGGCCACCUCCCUGCUGCUGCUGCUCUUCACUGCCUUCAUGGGCCUGCGGGCCUCCAAGGUAAGCGGCCCACCCCACCAAGCCUGCUCCUUGGUGUUCAGCCAGGUCAGGCCACCCUAUCGUUUUAUUUCUCUUUUUGUGGAUUAUUCCUGCUUCGUGCUGUGCUUCCUUUCCUUUCCUUAUUUACUCAACACAACCUUGGGCAGGUUUCUUGAUCUCUCUGUGCCUCGAUUUCCUCAUCUGGAAAAUGGGUAUAAUAGCAAGACCUGCCUGGUAGGGCUGUUGUGAGGAGGAAAUGAGUGAAUCUGUGAGGAACACUGGAUACAGGGCUGGCAUGUGGCUAGUGGGAUACAAGUGUUCACGGCCACUCACUGCAUGCUUAGUGACGUGGGAGGGGUGUGUGUUUUAGAACCAGACUGCCUGGGUUUGAAUCUAGUUCUACCGUGUUCUAGCUGUGUGACCUUUUUUUUUUAGCUUUUUUUUUUUUUUUUGGUGGCCACACCGCAUGGCAUGUGGGAUCUUAGUUCCCCGACCAGAUAUCGAACCCAUUCCCCUGUAGUGGAAGCGUGGAGUCCUAACCACUGAACCUCCAGGGAAGUCCCUAGCUGUGUGACCUUGAACAAGCUGCUUAACCUCUCUGUGCCUCUUUAAAGUGGAGAUGACAGUGGGGGUUGUUGUGAGGAGUAAAUGAAUUGAUGCGCAUACUACAGUGCGGAAAACAGAGCCUGGCACAUAGUACAGAGGCAUUAUAUGAGAGUUCGCCAUUACCAUUAUUACUGUUAUUACUGACUGUGCUCUUGUCUCCUGAGUCUGGGCUUCCCCAUCCUGGCCAGGUGUCACUAUCACCAGGGGAGCUAUUUUAUAAAUGCAGCCUCCUGUGUUCUAGCCCAUAUGGACUGAAUUGGAAACUCUGGGAACAGGGCCUGUAUUAUUAACAAGCUCCCUUCCUGAUUCCGCUACAUGUGAGUGCAGGGCCGCCUCAUCCAGUUGUGCAGGUUGUUCACCAUCCAAGGAUGCGUGGCCGAAGGGACAGCUGGGGGUUGGACUCCAGCUUGUGCUUUGCUUGCUGAGCCGCGAGCUCUGUCUCGAGGCUGAGGUGGCCUCAAGGGGCCGCCUUUUACUGAUUCUCCCCAGGGGUGGCAUUGGCCCCAGGAACGUGGACUGGCAUGAAGUUGCUGUUGUGCCCGAUCACUUACUUGCUGGCUCCUUGGUUUUCAGGCUGUUUUCAGCCAUCCCAAUGGGCUCGUAGGAAGCCUGGUUGGUUAAUAAAUCCCACAGAUAAUAACCAGCCUGCGCUGGCUGAGAGGGUUGCAGGGGUGGGGGGAGCACUUCCUACCUAGAACCAAGGGUCCAGUGGGAUUGGAGGGAAGCUCUGAAAGGCGGGGAUUGAGCCUUUCAGGGGGCUGGGUGAGCACAGCUUGGGGGGAUCUCACAGUGAUGGAGUCUGGGGUGCAGCGUGGUGAAGCGAGGCCCCAGAGGGAGUGGCGAGGGCCUUGAAUGCCAAGGCAGUGGCCCUGGACUUCAUCCUCAGGGCAGGGGGCUAUGGAAGGGCUGUAAGCAUAGAGGGUGUGUGGCAACCACGGACAACAGAGGGGAGGGUGCCGAGCUGCUCUGGGGAGGACAUACACAGUUCUAGCCCAGGGAGGACCAUCCGUGCUACCUCUCAGUGGCCCGUGGGGAUGGAGGGUCCUGAGCCUCUUGGGCUCUGAAGCACCCGGUUUUAAACCCAGUUCACUAGUUAAUUUACUGCAUCCCUUAGACAGUUUCCCAUGCCCCAGGCUGAGCCCCCAUGCCUUAACUUUAUCAUUUAUUUAUUUAUUAAUUUGGCUUGUGGGAUCUCAGUUCCUCAACCAGGGAUUCAGUCCGGGCCAUGGCGCCGAAAGCACUGAAUCCCAGCCACUAGCCCACCAGGGAACUCCCUCCAUGCCUUAAAUGUGGGUCUCCCUGGCCUCUGUCCAGCUGCCCGCACAGCAUCCAUCUUCCCCUAAACCCCCUUGUCCUCCCGAGUUCCCCGUCUUGGGACAGAUGCUCAGAUCAAACACCUGGGAGGCUGAUUUUGCUGCAGGAUACACGUCCCUCUUUCUCCUUCCACCCCUACACCCACGAGCGAUCUCGUCCACUUCCGUGGUUUCCACAAGCAGCUCCCCAUCAUCUCCUAGAUCGGGGUGCUCUGUGCUCAGCCUGAAGCAGCCAAGUUGGCCAGGUGGAGGGCAGCAUCUCUCCCACACCUGCUCUUCCUCCUGGUUCUCCAUCUGUGGUUGACCCCGUUGUCCCCCAGUCACUGGUUAGACCCCUGGAAGUCGCCCUGGUCCUGCCCCCCAACCCGUCAGUCCUCAGCCCAUCCUUCCUGCCCCCCCUCUCCAAGUCUCUGUGCCCAUCUCCUUUCCUCUAUCCUGGCUCCAGCUCAGACCCUCUUCCUAGCCCCCCCGUUGGUCCCCUCCGGCCCAUCCCCAUUGGCCCCGGGGCUGGCCCUGCUUCUCCCUUGCUCACAACUUGGCAUCGGAGACCUUGCUUCCCCAGCCUCAUCUGACACAAUUCUAAGCUUCAGCUCUACCAAAAUAUACUUGUAGCUCCUCCCCCCCGCUUCUCUUUUCUUCUCUCCCUUUGCAUGUGCUGUUCCUGGUGGGGAAGGGGGGCAGCCAAUAGACAGCUGGGCCCCAGACCUGGCGCUCCCUCCCUUCUUCUCUGAAAACGGCUCAUCAAGUAUUUGUUGUCUGUUAACACUUCUCUUUGACAAUUUAACAUUUAAAACCUUUUUUUUUUAAUUAUGGAAAAGUGCAAACAGAUGCAGAAAUAGAAUAGUAUAAUAAGCUUCCUUGUAGCCAGCACCAGCGUCAACAGGUAGCAACGGUCAAUCAGGUUUCACCUAAAGACCGCCUCCCCGACCAUUGGAUUAUUUUGAAGCAGAUCCUGCACGCGUCAUCUGGGAACACUUCAGUAUGUGUCUAGACGAUAAGGAUUAAAAAAAAAAAAAAUCAUUGUAACAAAAAGUGCCGACACUAAAACUCCUGUGGUCCGGAAAUCCUCGAACACAUUCAUUAACACGUGGCUCAAAUGAGCAAACCAGGGGCGAGAGCAUGUGGGUUAAACAUCCAAAUACCCAGGCCCCAGUCCUGGGGACCUGGACCGAAGACGUCUGGGGAGGUCCCUGGAGCCCUCGGGAAGGACUGUACCAGCAUGUUCGGACAGCGGCGCAACGUGCAGGCGCUGGAGCUGGCGCACAUGCUCUACUACCGCAGCACGUCCAACAACUCGGAGCUGCUCAGCGCCCUGGCCCUGCGCGCGCAGGACGAG